UUACGGCCAUAUUACGUUGAAAUACCGGUUCUCGUAUGAUCACAGAAGUUAAGAAAUAUCGAGCCUGGCCAGUACUUACAUGGAUAACCGGGAAUAUCAGGUGCUCCAA